AGAAGAAGUUGGAAAUUGCGACAAGCACAGGAUUUUUUUCGAUUUUUUAUUUUUUUGUAUAUUUUUUUUUCGU
rnacentral:ribozyme from 12 species